UUUCAUGCUCCAAACAGCAAGUGAAUAUCAAAUUCAUUACAUAUUUUUCUUAUCACCUUGAAAUUUAUAUACCUUGGUACAAUUUUUGUAGUAUUAUAUUUAUAAAAGAAUAUGGACCAAACAUUGGACCUGGAAGAUAACUCCUUUCAUAGCUUUUCAUCUUAACAAUAGCAGCAUCCAGUAUCUGGUUAUAUGUCAGAAAGAACGGGCUUUAACUGGAAUGACUUGUGAGAAUGGCUUACUUGGGGAAAUGGGAGCUUGAGUUUUCACAGCUAACUUUGUGUUUCCUCUGAAGUUAUUCAAAAUGGCUCAUUUUUCAGAUUAUUAUCCUAAUUUCCCUAUACAAGCCAUGAUAAAAGGAGUGAUUCAAGCAUUAGUUAAAUAAUACAGCUUGCGUGAAUCCCAGAUUUGCUAAUAAAAAGAGGAAGUUUUCUUUUCUUUUGGCCAUUUAUCUGCUUCAUAUUAUAUUAUAAUAUAUGUGUAGCCUUUCACUUAAAUGUAUAUCUGCCUCUGUGUUUUUUGCAAGAUAGGAGGAGUGGUCCUUAGCCUUGGAAAUCUCUCGACUCCGUAUUCUUGGGCUUUUGUUGGUUUGCCAGCUACAGAAGUCAUCACCUCAAGCUUUAUCUGACAAUCUUGAAAUAGUGAUGCUUCUUUGUGUUGACACUCUCACUUUAUCAGCUAGGUACUGAAAAUUUAUGGAUUUUGAUGGCAACAAAAAGAACGACCAUGAACUACUUCCCCAGCGUUGGCUACUUCUUGAUUGCAAUUUGACUUGCAUCUGCUGUCCACUCAUUUAAUGCGGCUGAUAAUGAACAAAAAGCUUAAAAGUUUUCCAUCUCAUCAGAAAGGAGGGUGUGUUAUUGUUGUUCAGAUGUUAUGAUUAGAGAGACAUAUUUUUUUGGUUAAGCAUUUGUUCAUGAAAAUGAGUUACACAAUGUUGAGAUAAUUCUACCAUGAAAACUCAAGACUUCCGCAUAGUUGUUUUUUGACAUCUAUAGGCUGAUGCAUUCCUUAAUUUUAAUUUUUUGACAUAGUUACAGAUGUCCACAUUGCCAGAUAAGGUUGGGCCAGAAGAUCUAAAAGAUGGUCAUGUCUCUUCCAAGAAGACUAAAGCCGAGACUGCAGAGUUUCUAUUUCAGCUUGAGAGAAGAAGAUCAAUCAAAGUUGGUAGUUCUAGUUCUUUUAUUAGAACAUAAUCAACACAGCACAGCAGUUCCUUAUUCGUAAACAGAUUUAAUUCAAUAUAUAAAAUCAUUAACUUAAAUGCA